CCACACUGGAACUGAGACACGGUCCAGACGCCUACGGGGGGCAGCAGUGGGGAAUUUUGGACAAUGGGCGCAAGCCUGAUCCAGCCAUGCCGCGUGUCUGAAGAAGGCCUUCGGGUUGUAAAGGACUUUUGUCAGGGAAGAAAAGGCUGUUGCUAAUAUCGACAGCUGAUGACGGUACCUGAAGAAUAAGCACCGGCUAACUACGUGCCAGCAGCCGCGGUAAUACGUAGGGUGCGAGCGUUAAUCGGAAUUACUGGGCGUAAAGCGAGCGCAGACGGUUACUUAAGCAGGAUGUGAAAUCCCCGGGCUCAACCUGGGAACUGCGUUCUGAACUGGGUGACUAGAGUGUGUCAGAGGGAGGUAGAAUUCCACGUGUAGCAGUGAAAUGCGUAGAGAUGUGGAGGAAUACCGAUGGCGAAGGCAGCCUCCUGGGAUAACACUGACGUUCAUGCUCGAAAGCGUGGGUAGCAAACAGGAUUAGAUACCCUUGUAGUCC
rnacentral:rRNA from 1 species